rnacentral:misc_RNA from 1 species
GAUGAAGAACGUAGUGAAAUGCGAUAAUUAAUGUGAAUUGCAGAAUUCCGUGAAUCAUCGAGUCUUUGAACGCACAUUGCGCCUCAUGGCAUUCCGUGAGGCAUGCCCAUCUCAGCGUUAGAAAAUAUUCUCAAAUUUUAGUUUUGUGCUAAAAUUUGGAUCAUGUCAAGGAAGCUAUUACUAUUAUUGUGAUCGCUCUUUGGAAAUUGAUAGGUCUUUGAGUUGCUACUCAUAGAACGUGAUGAAUCUUUCUUCGUUCUAUUGUAAUUCACUCUGGUAGUCCUAAAACUUGUAUGCCUGUGGCAUAUCUUGUAAUUUGACCUGAGAUUGGGUAGGGAUACCCGCUGAACUUAAGCAUAUCAAUAAGCGGAGGA